rnacentral:misc_RNA from 1 species
GAAUGCCAAGUGUUCAAACCUCUCAUUGUUAGGACCAAACCGUUUUGUUGACACAGUCUCUUGUAGAACGCCUUGAUAAAUAUAAGCGGACCAGAUUCCGGCAACACAGAAGGCGAGGACAAGGACACGGCGGAGACCAGCACCGUGAGCUUCCAUGUGGAAAUGUCGUUGGAAAAGUCAGAUCCCGGUAGACACGUGGACUUCAAAGAGGUAC